UACGUAAGUGGCGAGCGUUAUCCGGAAUUACUGGGUGUAAAGGGUGUGUAGGCGGCUUAUUAAGUCUUGUGUUAAAUCCCACGGCUCAACUGUGGGCUUGCGCGAGAAACUGGUAGGCUUGAGUAGAGGAGAGGUAACUGGAAUUCCUAGUGUAGCGGUGAAAUGUGUAGAUAUUAGGAAGAACACCAGUGGCGAAGGCGGGUUACUGGCCUCUUACUGACGCUGAGACACGAAAGCCGGGGGAGCAAACAGG
rnacentral:rRNA from 1 species